CGAGGACGAACGCUGGCGGCGUGCCUAACACAUGCAAGUCGAACGAGAUCCAUGGGAGCUUGCUCCCGGAAGAUCUAGUGGCGAACGGGUGAGUAACACGUGAGAAACCUGCCCUGGAGUGGGGAAUAACUCGGGGAAACUCGAGCUAAUACCGCAUACCCUCGGAUGGUCGCAUGGCCGACCGAGGAAAGAUUUAUCGCUCUAGGAGGGUCUCGCGGCCUAUCAGCUAGUUGGUGGGGUAACGGCCUACCAAGGCAACGACGGGUAGCUGGUUUGAGAGAACGAUCAGCCACACUGGGACUGAGACACGGCCCAGACUCCUACGGGAGGCAGCAGUGGGGAAUCUUGCGCAAUGGGCGAAAGCCUGACGCAGCAACGCCGCGUGCGGGAUGACGGCCUUCGUGGUUGUAAACCGCUUUCAGCAGGGACGAAAAUGACGGUACCUGCAGAAGAAGCCCCGGCUAACUACGUG
rnacentral:rRNA from 1 species